rnacentral:rRNA from 1 species
GCCCUCCUACGGGGCGCAGCAGUGAGGAAUAUUGGUCAAUGGCCGAGAGGCUGAACCAGCCAAGUCGCGUGAGGGAUGACGGCCCUACGGGUUGUAAACCUCUUUUGUCGGGGAGCAAGACCCGCCUCGUGCAGGCGCAUCGAGAGUACCCGGAGAAAAAGCAUCGGCUAACUCCGUGCCAGCAGCCGCGGUAAUACGGAGGAUGCGAGCGUUAUCCGGAUUUAUUGGGUUUAAAGGGUGCGCAGGCGGCGAGUUAAGUCAGCGGUAAAAUUUCGGGGCUCAACCCCGACGAGC